rnacentral:rRNA from 2 species
CUCAAGAUGAUUACUCUCAUUGGCUUAACCAAGUAAGGUCACGGGCAGAACACCCGUUUAUAGGUGUUAGGUCGAAGUCCAGCGAUGGAUGCAGCCGAGACACACUAACAGACCGAGGGCUUGACCUU